rnacentral:sRNA from 1 species
GGGGGCGCCGAGGUGACAGCAGGCUGGGGAGGCUUGGAGGGAUCUCCCGCCAACACACAGCCACGUUCUCCACAAACUUAGCGUCACGCGUGGAGGCGCCGACCCCCUCGGAGGCACAGAGAGGACGGCCGCACUUCCAAGAGUCGCUUGGCGCCCGCGGGGAGAGUCGUGCGCCUAGUGGGCACGCACCACCCCGCAAAGCCUCGCCGCCCCGACGAGGCUGCGUCCCCCAGUGUGGCUGGGCCGGGGUGGGGGGGUCUGUCUUCUCUUUUUCCCCGUGUGGACCUCAGGACCUGGACGCUGCCCCCAGGUGACCAGAAGUCAGCAGCUUCCCAGAAGCCCCGAAGCCGGGGCAUCCUCCACUCACUCUUCUGCUGUGUCUGCCGGGAUGAUGGGGAGGCCCUGCCUGCUCACAGCGGGGCGCCCCUGCUUGUGGAGGAGAAUGGCGCCAUCCCUAAG